AUUGAACGCUGGCGGAAUGCUUUACACAUGCAAGUCGAACGGCAGCACGGGUGCUUGCACCUGGUGGCGAGUGGCGAACGGGUGAGUAAUAUAUCGGAACGUAUCCAAUAAUGGGGGAUAACUAAUCGAAAGGUUGGCUAAUACCGCAUACGCCCUACGGGGGAAAGCUAGGGACCUUCGGGCCUGGCGUUAAUGGAGCGGCCGAUAUCUGAUUAGCUAGUUGGUGGGGUAAUGGCCUACCAAGGCGACGAUCAGUAGCGGGUCUGAGAGGACGACCAGCCACACUGGAACUGAGACACGGUCCAGACUCCUACGGGAGGCAGCAGUGGGGAAUUUUGGACAAUGGGCGCAAGCCUGAUCCAGCCAUUCCGCGUGAGUGAAGAAGGCCUUCGGGUUGUAAAGCUCUUUCGCAAGGGAAGAAAACUUAUCCUCUAACAUAGGAUGAGGUUGACGGUACCUUGAUAAGAAGCACCGGCUAACUCCGUGCCAGCAGCCGCCGUAAAAC
rnacentral:rRNA from 1 species